rnacentral:tRNA from 1 species
GGUUGUGGCUCAGUGGUAGAGUGCUUGCCUUGCACAUGUAAGGCCCUGGGUUUGAUCCUCAGCACCA